rnacentral:rRNA from 1 species
CACGUAGGGCGCAAGCGUUGUCCGGAAUUAUUGGGCGUAAAGAGCUCGUAGGCGGUCUGUUGCGUCCGCUGUGAAAACCCGGGGCUUAACCCCUGGCUUGCAGUGGAUACGGACAGACUAGAGGUAGGUAGGGAGAAUGGAAUUCCCGGUGUAGCGGUGAAAUGCGCAGAUAUCGGGAGGAACACCGGGUGGCGAAGGCGGUUCUCUGGGCCUUACCUGACGCUGAGGAGCGAAAGCGUGGGGAGCGAACAGG